UUGUUGAAAAUCUGUCCGAAUCUAUUGUCUCGGAAUGAAGAAUACCAGACAGCUUUUAUAUAAGGAAGAAGAUAAAUACGAAUCCCUCGGGGCUACAUAGCUAUGACUUUGGCAUCAAAAUUUACGGAGGGCGUGAAUGAAGGAUAGCCCUCACAAUGACCGUAGCAAGAGCACCAGAGAUUUCUGUUUCGUCUACAAGAUGAAUCUGGAAUAAAUAUGAGCCCUACCACCUCCGAUGAAGAAGUAGUGAUUCCCCACCACUCCCUGACUGGUGUAUUCUCGGGCGUGGAAAUGUUUCGUGGAAUCUUGUCUUGCUUGAUGGCUCCCCCCCUCCCAUACGCUACCUUAAAUGCAAAUGAACAAUACGCGCCUUACUAAUCACGGUACG
rnacentral:lncRNA from 1 species